GACGAACGCUGGCGGCGUGCUUAACACAUGCAAGUCGAACGGAAAGGCCCUGCUUUUGUGGGGUGCUCGAGUGGCGAACGGGUGAGUAACACGUGAGUAACCUGCCCUUGACUUUGGGAUAACUUCAGGAAACUGGGGCUAAUACCGGAUAGGAGCUCCUGCUGCAUGGUGGGGGUUGGAAAGUUUCGGCGGUUGGGGAUGGACUCGCGGCUUAUCAGCUUGUUGGUGGGGUAGUGGCUUACCAAGGCUUUGACGGGUAGCCGGCCUGAGAGGGUGACCGGCCAAAUUGGGACUGAGAUACGGCCCAGACUCCUACGGGAGGCAGCGGUGGGGAAGAUUGCACAAUGGGCGGAAGCCUGAUGCAGCAACGCCGCGUGCGGGAUGAGGGCCUUCGGGUUGUAAACCGCUUUCGCCUGUGACGAAGCGUGAGUGACGGUAAUGGGUAAAGAAGCACCGGCUAACUACGUG
rnacentral:rRNA from 1 species